rnacentral:misc_RNA from 1 species
AUUAAAGACUUAAUAUCAUUCAAUAAAAUAAUUCCAAAACUCUUGCAAUUUGAUUACAUCGGUAUAUCAAAGUAAAACAGCUGUAAUUUAAAGUAAUAGCUAUUUGAAAAUAGCCAUUACCGUACAUAUAUGAGAAUCAACUACUUUAUUUCUUGUAAAUGUUCCAAGCUAACCCGAUGUAUAAAUCGUUCGUCCCAAAUCGUUUCCGUGAAUUAUGCCAUGGCAAAUUCUCAAAUUAUUGUGUCCAUGGGUCAAUGUACACGCCAGCAGGGGAUCUUAUACAGACUACAAUUCCCAUUGAUCCGUAUGAGAAUUACGGCAAACUUUUACAUGAACGAGACAUCCGCGAUUUUAAUAUCAACGCCUCGUAAGAUUACGGGCAACGAUUUAUUCACGUUUGUAUAGAAACUGUUUGUAUACACCAUGAGGAUAUACUAUCUUAGAUAGAUGUACGGUAUGUAUAAAGUAUGCCAACAACAAAAGAAGGAAUAGACUCCUAUACGAUAAAUUUGAGACUGGAUUAAUUACGUUCUACGAAUACAAAAAAUUAUACUUCUAAGUCCUCGUGUGAUUAUGUAUGUGCGUGAAUACUAAAGCAUUUCUUGGAACUAAUCAGAAUCGUUUCUCCUUGUAUGCACCCGCCACAAGCUUCCAAUACAUAUAUACUCUUUCUUGCAAAUCGCGCUUCACAAUCGCGGUCUCUGCGUUACAUGAUUACGCAUCAUCGAUCAAAUUCCUUAUCUCACUGAUCACGCGUAUUGUUCGUUCGUAACGUUGCAUUUAUAAAUUCGUUUAUACUAUCAUUCGCUAUCUAAGCCUUUAAGACAUUCGCUAUAAAUAAUUUGUAAAAUAUACACAUUUUUUACAGAACAGCAUCUUUGCAACGACACAUUAGCAAUGAAAUAGUUACUAUCGCAAGGAACAAUUCGAUAAAGAUAAGAUAAUGCAAUACCAUCCAUUUACGUUCAUUAUGCUCUUUAGAAUCAACGACAUUCGUAUAAAUUUAUUGAUAGAACGAUGUGAAAUCGGACGGACUGCAUCAACCAUCUUUUAAGGUACUAACGUAAGAACUCCAUUCGUAUUGUAUCAUAUUUUAAUUCAUCCACGGUGGACAGGAAGUCGGUGGUUGAUAUGUCUGUGAAAUUGGCACCUGAUAAUGCUGCACAUUUUGAGGAGGAUGCUGCGGUCGCUGCUGAUGAUGCGGCGGUGGUGGUGGCGGUGGAUUGCAAAUGGAUUGCAUCAAUGGGUGUGAAUUGACACACUCCUUGAUGCUCUCCAUCCCUUGGCAUUGGUGGUGGUCUGCCCCAUGGAACUCUAACAUGAUGUGUUUGCCACGGUGCCUGUGGUGGAAGUGAAGGAGGCAGAGGUGGUCCACUUCCAGGAUGCAUGUUUAUCGAAUCUCCGAUCGGAUUUUGCUCAUUUCCUAUUACAUACAUUUAUAUAUACAAUGAAAUCUGUUCUCCAGCUCAUAGGAAACAUAAAAAUAAAUAUACCAGAACAAAUGUUAGAUAUACCUGUAUUUAUGCCUGCAGUUUUUUGAUCCAAGCUGCGUUUCUCACCUAAAUAAUGAAAAUUCAUGAAAUGAAAUAAAGUACAUAUACAAGACGAUGUGGAAUAACUAUAUGUAAAAUAUAUUAUAAAAUUAAAUAUGGCAAAUAACGUGAUGAAAUAUUGUAAUACAACUAUUAAUUAAUGAUAAAUUAAAAAUAAAAUAAAAUUAUAAUAUAUCCUUUCCUUUUACUUAAAACUCAAGCUAUAAUUUGUUAAUAUGCAGAUUAAAAUAUUAGUUGAUUUGUUUAAAUCAAUACUGCGCAGUGAUAAAUUCUCUAAGUAUUUCUUAAAGUUCUACGGAACACUAACAAUAUUUCACGCUGUUCACCAUUUCUUAGGAAAGAAAAAAAAUAGUGAUUAUGACGACUAAAUGCAUCUGGAAGCGCAUAAUAAAUAUAUCCAUGACAUUAGGUCACGAUUGCUGUAAAGCCUCCUUAGUUUAUAUUAUUUGCUUCAUUCGUGAUCUGCAAAAUAAAAUUUAUUAUUAAAAAUUUGUUUUCAUCUCCAUCAUCCAAAUUCCUGGUUUAAGACAUCCAUCAGAUUAUUAUUCAAUUCACUGUAAAACAAAUAAUGAAAUCAAUUGCAUACAAUUAUUUAACAGAUCCAACAUUUUUACUCUGUAAACUUUGUACACAUUUAUAGAAAAAGCUACAUUAAAUAAUUUGUAAACACCAUGAAUCAUUAAUGUCAAUAUGACGGGCUGC